UACGUAGGGGGCAAGCGUUGUCCGGAUUUAUUGGGCGUAAAGAGCUCGUAGGCGGCUUGGCAAGUCGGGUGUGAAAACUCCAGGCUCAACCUGGAGAUGCCACUCGAGACUGCUAUGGCUAGAGUCCGGUAGGGGACCACGGAAUUCCUGGUGUAGCGGUGAAAUGCGCAGAUAUCAGGAGGAACACCGGUGGCGAAGGCGGCGUCCUGGACCAAUACUGACACUGAGGAGCGAAAGCCAGGGGAGCAAACGGG
rnacentral:rRNA from 1 species